UUAAGCGACUAAGCGUACACGGUGGAUGCCCUGGCAGUCAGAGGCGAUGAAGGGGCGUGCUAAUCUGCGAUAAGCGCCGGUAAGGUGAUAUGAACCGUUAUAACCGGCGAUACCCGAAUGGGGAAACCCAGUGUGAUUCGUCACACUAUCAUUAACUGAAUCCAUAGGUUAAUGAGGCGAACCGGGGGAACUGAAACAUCUAAGUACCCCGAGGAAAAAGAAAUCAACCGAGAUUCCCCCAGUAGCGGCGAGCGAACGGGGAGGAGCCCAGAGCCUGAAUCAGCAUGUGUGUUAGUGGAAGCGUCUGGAAAGGCGCGCGAUACAGGGUGACAGCCCCGUACACAAAAGCGCAUGUGCUGUGAGCUCGAUGAGUAGGGCGGGACACGUGGUAUCCUGUCUGAAUAUGGGGGGACCAUCCUCCAAGGCUAAAUACUCCUGACUGACCGAUAGUGAACCAGUACCGUGAGGGAAAGGCGAAAAGAACCCCGGCGAGGGGAGUGAAAAAAGAACCUGAAACCGUGUACGUACAAGCAGUGGGAGCACAGGUUUACCUGUGUGACUGCGUACCUUUUGUAUAAUGGGUCAGCGACUUAUAUUCUGUAGCAAGGUUAACCGAAUAGGGGAGCCGGAGGGAAACCGAGUCUUAAUUGGGCGUUAAGUUGCAGGGUAUAGACCCGAAACCCGGUGAUCUAGCCAUGGGCAGGUUGAAGGUUGGGUAACACUAACUGGAGGACCGAACCGACUAAUGUUGAAAAAUUAGCGGAUGACCUGUGGCUGGGGGUGAAAGGCCAAUCAAACCGGGAGAUAGCUGGUUCUCCCCGAAAGCUAUUUAGGUAGCGCCUCGUGAAUUCAUCUCCGGGGGUAGAGCACUGUUUCGGCUAGGGGGCCAUCCCGGCUUACCAACCCGAUGCAAACUGCGAAUACCGGAGAAUGUUAUCACGGGAGACACACGGCGGGUGCUAACGUCCGUCGUGAAGAGGGAAACAACCCAGACCGCCAGCUAAGGUCCCAAAGUCAUGGUUAAGUGGGAAACGAUGUGGGAAGGCCCAGACAGCCAGGAUGUUGGCUUAGAAGCAGCCAUCAUUUAAAGAAAGCGUAAUAGCUCACUGGUCGAGUCGGCCUGCGCGGAAGAUGUAACGGGGCUAAACCAUGCACCGAAGCUGCGGCAGCGACGCUGAUGCGUUGUUGGGUAGGGGAGCGUUCUGUAAGCCUGCGAAGGUGGCCUGUGAGGGUUGCUGGAGGUAUCAGAAGUGCGAAUGCUGACAUAAGUAACGAUAAAGCGGGUGAAAAGCCCGCUCGCCGGAAGACCAAGGGUUCCUGUCCAACGUUAAUCGGGGGCAGGGUGAGUCGACCCCUAAGGCGAGGCCGAAAGGCGUAGUCGAUGGGAAACGGGUUAAUAUUCCCGUACUUGGUGUUACUGCGAAGGGGGGACGGAGAAGGCUAUGUUGGCCGGCGACGGUUGUCCCGGUUUAAGCGUGUAGGCUGGUUUUCCAGGCAAAUCCGGAAAAUCAAGGCUGAGGCGUGAUGACGAGGCACUACGGUGCUGAAGCAACAAAUGCCCUGCUUCCAGGAAAAGCCUCUAAGCAUCAGGUAACAUCAAAUCGUACCCCAAACCGACACAGGUGGUCAGGUAGAGAAUACCAAGGCGCUUGAGAGAACUCGGGUGAAGGAACUAGGCAAAAUGGUGCCGUAACUUCGGGAGAAGGCACGCUGACACGUAGGUGAAGUGAUUUACUCAUGGAGCUGAAGUCAGUCGAAGAUACCAGCUGGCUGCAACUGUUUAUUAAAAACACAGCACUGUGCAAACACGAAAGUGGACGUAUACGGUGUGACGCCUGCCCGGUGCCGGAAGGUUAAUUGAUGGGGUCAGCGCAAGCGAAGCUCCUGAUCGAAGCCCCGGUAAACGGCGGCCGUAACUAUAACGGUCCUAAGGUAGCGAAAUUCCUUGUCGGGUAAGUUCCGACCUGCACGAAUGGCGUAAUGAUGGCCAGGCUGUCUCCACCCGAGACUCAGUGAAAUUGAACUCGCUGUGAAGAUGCAGUGUACCCGCGGCAAGACGGAAAGACCCCGUGAACCUUUACUAUAGCUUGACACUGAACAUUGAGCCUUGAUGUGUAGGAUAGGUGGGAGGCUUUGAAGUGUGGACGCCAGUCUGCAUGGAGCCGACCUUGAAAUACCACCCUUUAAUGUUUGAUGUUCUAACGUGGACCCGUUACCCGGGUUGCGGACAGUGUCUGGUGGGUAGUUUGACUGGGGCGGUCUCCUCCUAAAGAGUAACGGAGGAGCACGAAGGUUGGCUAAUCCUGGUCGGACAUCAGGAGGUUAGUGCAAUGGCAUAAGCCAGCUUGACUGCGAGCGUGACGGCGCGAGCAGGUGCGAAAGCAGGUCAUAGUGAUCCGGUGGUUCUGAAUGGAAGGGCCAUCGCUCAACGGAUAAAAGGUACUCCGGGGAUAACAGGCUGAUACCGCCCAAGAGUUCAUAUCGACGGCGGUGUUUGGCACCUCGAUGUCGGCUCAUCACAUCCUGGGGCUGAAGUAGGUCCCAAGGGUAUGGCUGUUCGCCAUUUAAAGUGGUACGCGAGCUGGGUUUAGAACGUCGUGAGACAGUUCGGUCCCUAUCUGCCGUGGGCGCUGGAGAACUGAGGGGGGCUGCUCCUAGUACGAGAGGACCGGAGUGGACGCAUCACUGGUGUUCGGGUUGUCAUGCCAAUGGCACUGCCCGGUAGCUAAAUGCGGAAGAGAUAAGUGCUGAAAGCAUCUAAGCACGAAACUUGCCCCGAGAUGAGUUCUCCCUGAGACUUAGAGUCUCCUGAAGGAACGUUGAAGACGACGACGUUGAUAGGCCGGGUGUGUAAGCGCAGCGAUGCGUUGAGCUAACCGGUACUAAUGAACCGUGAGGCUUAACCUU
rnacentral:rRNA from 1 species